rnacentral:rRNA from 1 species
CGGGUGAGUAACACGUGGAUAACCUACCUAUAAGACUGGGAUAACUUCGGGAAACCGGAGCUAAUACCGGAUAAUAUAUUGAACCGCAUGGUUCAAUAGUGAAAGACUGUUUUGCUGUCACUUAUAGAUGGAUCCGCGCCGCAUUAGCCAGUUGGUAAGGUAACGGCUUACCAAGGCAACGAUGCGUAGCCGACCUGAGAGGGUGAUCGGCCACACUGGAACUGAGACACGGUCCAG